UAUCUAACUCAGUUGAACAGUUCUUACUUGUUACUACUGGUACUACUUGUAUUGUUCUCUGCUAGAUAUAUAUCGCUUUGCUUGUAUUUUUCUCAUUUGUUAGUCGCUUUAGAUAAAAGCAUCCGCUAAGUGAAUAAAUGUAAUGCACUUUAAAUCUAUUCAUUUAUUUUACAUCCCCACCCCCCAUCUGUUUACAUGUUUUCACAUCACGGCUACUUUGGUGACAGUUUGUUAGCUAAAUUAUAUAGCAUGAUACAUAUCCCUGCUUGAGUGUGCGAGCAUACUUGACCAAUAAAACUGAUUCUGAAUCUGAUUCAGAAAAAUGGCAGUGAUCCGUACGGAAGCCGAAGGAAUCGACUCAUAUUGAAGAGCUAAGCCAAAGGAUUCGGUUCACUUAAAAGAGCCAGUGCUUUCCAUCAUUGAAGGAAGUGAAGUGCGCGGUGAAAAAGCAUCAUAAUGGACGCUACAGUGGCAUGUAAUAAUUGUGGCUUACCGUACACGUUGUCUGAGGGUAAGGUUGUGGGGAGGCUGCCCCAUGUGCUCUUCUGUGUGGAGUGUCUCUGCUCUCUGGAGUGUCCUCAGGACUCCAACUCUGUCCCCUCAGUCAGCUGUCCCGAGUGUAGGGUGAGCACUGUUCACAACUCCUGUCCAUGCAGCCAUCACUCCCUUACUGCGCUACAGCAUGUCAACCAGCUUUCACAACUCUUUUUAGGGAAAGUAGCUAAAGCAUGCUCAAUUUGUCACCAGAUGACACCAUAGAUUACAUUUUUUCUAAUUACUUAUGAUAUGGCAAUGAAUAUUACUAACUAGUUUUAAAAAAGAAAGCGAGGCAGAUAGGGUGCCGAUACUUGUAGAGUUGCAUAGAUAUAUCAUGAACAUGCACAUUUUUUAAACGCGUCUACAAAUGAAGAAGGCAGGCAAAAAGAAGUCGUGAAAGGUGAGCAGUCUGAAGGAAAUGGUUACUCGUUUGUAAGUAUCAACAAGAAAAGUGUUUAAAAUGAAGAACUAUGGGACAGUAAAGUUAUUAAAACAUAACUUUCUCAGAUUUACUAAGUAGAUAACACUAGUUGGUCAUUACUACACCCCAUAACGUUAGAUAAGUGUGUCUGAGUUUAGUAUUUAUGCAGACCUUUUAUUUAUAAGUCUGUCCAUCCAUCUGAGGUUCUCAUUAAUGCAAUAUCUCAACCAGUGGUUGAAUGUUUGUAGGAAUUCUAUAGACUAUAUUGUUGUUGUAACCAGCAGAUGACUCAAUUAGUAUUUGGAAUUGAUCCAAAAAUAUAAGAGGUCACAGCAGUUUCAUGUUUAGGAACUCAAGGCCCUUUAUUGUUUUUUUUUGGCUAGCUACGGUUUUGCCAUCAUUCCAUGCUUCUGUGUGUCCUUGCUUUUGCAUGAGAUUCUUGUUUAGUGUGACAUCUCAAGAACGAAAGGUUGAAUGUUUUAUAGUGUAGCAGCAGCGGCAGGUGGAACACAGACAGAGUGAGACUGGUUAAGAGAGCUUUUAUUUUGUAGAAUGGGAGUGCAGAAGGGUCAUGGGACACUCUGUCCUGGGGCAGCAGUCUGUGAGGGAGGUGUUAGAGAGGAGUGUGGUCGCUAUGGGCCAGGCAGAGUGGUGUAGGUCGGUAGCAGAGUGCGGAGGAAACGUAGGUAGUGGGGGGGAGAGAAUUGCUGUCAUCAUCGUCAUCUGCAAGACAUAGAACCGAAUUGAUCAGCAUAGACACGUAGACAAAAGCUGCUCAAGCUGCUGAGGUUGUGAUGCCCUUUUAUCCUCUCCAGUCUUCUCUGAGAGGGUGAGGAGUUGCAGUGUUUAUCUGCCGCAAUUUGUGCUCUAUUUCCCCACCUCAUGCUCUGCUGCAGUCGACAACAGUGGUGCUGAAAUGACUGUCUGUUCAGCACCCAGGUGGCAGUAGUGUGAGGAGCAUUUUUCACCUCUUCAACAGGUUCACGUGGAACCUGUACGUUUCUGCUCGCUUAUCGGCUGCUGCAGGUGUUAUCGUCAGCUGCUGGAGGCUGGCCUCCAUUAGUUGCUGCAGCAUGGAAUCCAUGUUUUUAUUUUUAAAUUUUUUAUUAUUAUUAUAUAUUUUUUCCUUUAUUUUUUUAUUUGGCCGCGUCUGUGCUCAUUCCCGUAUCCUUCACCAGACUUACAAAUGAGAAAAUACAAGCAAAGCAAUAUAUCAAGCAGAGAACACUGCAAGUAGUGCUACAAUAGAAGAUUUUUAAUUGAGUUCUAGAAGAUGCAAAAAUGUAAUCAGCCCUGAGAUUCUAACCAGCGACCUUGGCGUUCUUACCACCACACACUAACUAACUGAGCUACAUUGCCAUAUAUAUAAUAUAUCAUAAUAGUUUCGAAGAGAAUUUUUAAGCGAAUAUUUUUAAGUGUCCAAAAUUAUAUGGACGGCGCUCCGUGCAGCGGGGAAAGCACUCAGACAUAGCCCGGGGAGGGAGCGUCAUGUCGCACAGACUCUGGCCAGCUCCAGGCCGAUCAUCGCUGAUUUUUUUCCCUGGGCGUUGAAGAGUUAUCAUUGAUGAAAUUGUUACUUUACAUUUAUUUGGUAAAAAGCUUAGACUUUUUUGGAACAUUCGGCCGUUAUAUCGGGUGAUGAACAGUUCCCAGAUAGCAAGCACAUUUGGGCCGAUUCUGGUAGAAAUGCGCCACUGUCGGCUCAAUUCCGGUAUCGGUGAAAAGGUAAUUGCCCAGAGCCCUGCUGACCGUUCACACCACUUCUCGUUGACAGACGGUUUUUGCUAUGUGGGCCAAUCUCAGCUGAAAGCAGGUGUACUUGCGGCAGGUCCAUACUCUGUGUAGCGGUGUGUAUCUGCUUUUUCGAGUUCGUUAAGUCACAGACGGGCCACAGCUAAAAUUAAGGAGCUCAGCCGCCUGGAAAACACUUUUGACGGUUAAAUCAGUUAGGAUACUCGAGGCUGCAGUCAUUCUUCGUUUUCAAGAGGAAUCAUUUCAGCUGAAGAAGCCAUGCUGAGGGAGGUGUUAACUAAAUUAGAGAUGGUGCUGGACCAACAAACCACUGAGAUUGCUUCAACUACAGGAGGUCCAGGUGCAGCCUUUGGAUAUUGAUGAAGAUUUACUGCCCCUGCAAGACCUUCCUCAACUGUGUAGUCUGGAGCGAAGGAUGCAACAGAGCCCAGAUUACAAGCAAAAUCUGUUUCAGGUAAACUGGUUGGAGCUUAUUGACAGGGCGGAUGUGCUCAACUGCACCUGGUGCAUAUUGGUGAUUACUAACUCCCUGGAAAAGAACCUCAAUUGGAGGGGAAUCAAUAGAAAGACUUCACUGUCCGCUCUCCAACUCGGAGAGGUCGUGAUUGUUCAUAGAAACCUCUUUACGGCUAAUGCUGCAGAGAUGGAGGUCGAGAGGACCAUGAAGAGGUGGCUCCAGCUGGCAUCAGAUCAAGAGUGUGAGUGCAAGAGAAGUCUUUUGCAAAAGGAAGCUACCAGGAAUCCUGAAGAAGGACGAGUGCAUUGGAGCAGUCGUGCCGCAUGCGGGGGCAAACAUCAGGCUUCGGCAGACAGAGGUUCUGAAGAGGGCCAGCCUGAUCGAGACAGUAUGAGGCAGAUCACCCACCGCGAAGAUCAUCGUCUCUGGACCUCUUCCCUCAUACAGAUGUGGAGCUGAAAAGUUCAGUAGACUUCUAGCAUUAAAUGAUUGGUUAGUUUCUUGGUGUAAUUAACAGGAAUCUGCUGUUUGUUAAUAACUGGAAUCUGUUCUGGGAGCGUCCUAGGUUGUUUCGUCCUGAUGGCCUGCACUCCAGCAGCUUCGGAGCGGAACUGCUGUCUGACAACAUCUCCAAGACGCUACACUCCAAGUGACUGUCUACCGUCAAAUUAUUCGUAAACAUGGAAUGAACUUCCACUGUUAUGCUGAUGAUACAGAGCUGUAUGUUUGCAACUGAACAAUAACAACAAUAAACAACAACUGAAGAAUAGCGAAAAACUCCAACUGUUUUCGUGCUUACUUGAAGACGAUGAGGCGGAGCAGCAUCGGAGAGACAGUUCGCUCCAUUCUCCAAAGAAUCGGGGAGAACAGUCUGUGGUGUAUGUUUUCGUUGAAAGCGCCAAAAGGUGGGAAGCUGGCUUUGACUGAUCAGGAUGAAGUGUAUGGCCUUGUACACUAUAUUGCCGAACAAGCACAUGGACGUGAAUAUACUGUUGCCGGUUGCAGAGAGGCCAUCGGCAGCUACCUAAAAAAUGCCCCAGGCAGGAAAAGUGUCAAGAAACACAUUAUGUGUUUAUGAUGAAGCAGAGCUACAUGGGAUCUCUAGUGCGUCCUGCAAGAAUUGGGCCUUAGUCCAGUUCAGAUUCAAUUUUGUAAUUCCUCUCCCUCGCGUGACAGCCUCCAAACAGUACAAUUCUAAUGAGCUUGAAUAUACGGAGAAUUCCAUUGGGUUUGAUGUCUGACUAAUAAUUUUUUUCUUUGAUUAGCAAUACAUAGGAACUAUAUCUGGCUAUUUUGUGUGUUACAAUAUUGAAUGUCAUUUUUCAGCUUUUAACUUCGUCUGCAUUUACUAAAAUUCAUGCAUGUUUAUUAAAAAUAUUCAUGGAGUUUGUUAAACUAUAUAAUUGUUGUCUGUCAUUCAUAAGAUUCGUCAUGUGAAUUCCAUAGACCAGAAUCUAACAUCCACAUUAUUGAAGCUUGUUUAAUUACGGGUUUGUUAAAGCAUGCGGUAUGUUAUAUGCUUUAAUUGUAUCUUGCCACAUAAUGUUGGAAAAUGAGUACUUGUGUACUUUUCAAGAAAUUAGAUACAAAAAGGAUUACACAUAUCUGAUUAGAAAAAAUAGCAUCAUAAUGUGUGUAACUUUGUGUAUAAAUAUUGUGUAGUGUAUUUACACCACAUUAUGAGGUGUAUAUACAGGCAAUUACAAAAUACUAAGUGCAUGUUGUUGAGUCUUUCUGGAAUUCUAUAUCCCUGUUUUAUAAAGCACUGAAUGGUUUGGGUCCAAUAUAUAUUUCUGAUCUACUGGUACAUUAUGAACCAUCCAGACCUCUGAGGUCAUCUGGAACAGGUCUGCUUUCUGUUCUCAGAGUCAAAACUAAAUGUGGAGAAGCAGCAUUUAGUUUUUAUUCUCCACAUAUCUGGAACAAACUCCCAGAAAACUGCAGAUCUGCCAAAACUGUCAGUUCUUUUAAAUCAAGACUGAAGAAUUUUCUUUUUGCUGCUGCUUUUAAAUCAAUCAUCAAGGUAUUUUAAUUAAUAUCUUAUGCUGCACUGUAACCUUUUUAAUCUGUUUUAACCUGUUUUUUAUUUGUUUGUUUUUAUUACUUUUUUUUUAUUUAUUUUAUAUAAUGUGUAUGAACUCUUUUUAAUGUCUUCUUUUUAAAUGUUGCUUUGUGUUGCUUUUAUGUAAAGCACUUUGAAUUACCCUGUUGCUGAAAAUGUGCUAUACAAAUAAAUUUGCCUUGACUUUGUGGAUCUUCUCCAGUGAAAUAGAUGAGGCCACCUACGGAACGCAUUAAUUUACAUAGGAGCAGCGAUGAGAAUAGAAAUGUAUUUCUAAUAUUAGUUGAAAUUUCAAAGAUUAAGAUUUCUUACCCAGAAUACCGCUUCUGGGGAAAUUGCCGUUCCCGAGGGUGGACACACGAGGGCAGUCAAGCUCCAUCCAGCACAAGACACAACGCCGCCUGGAACAGAAGGCAGAUUUGGGCUACUGUACACAGACACAGCUCAUCGGCGUUAUUACUGUGCAUUGUCUAGUUUUCACAUAAGGACAAUACACGGCUCUUCUGCACUGUUCAUCAUCUAAAAAACAAACAUUAUGUAAUAUACUUAGCAGUAUAUUUAUCAUAAUAAAGUUCACUCAUUAAUAACGAAUAAUAAACAUU